AACAAAACAAAACAAAACAAAACAAAAAACAGUGUGUUGUAGUCUGCGUGAUUGUUUGAUUCUUUUUUUCCCUUGUUGGUUCAUUUCAU
rnacentral:ribozyme from 12 species